GCCCUGGUGGUCUAGUGGUUAAGAUUUGGCACUUUCACUGCUGUGGCCUGGGGUUGUUUCCCAGUCAGGGAA
rnacentral:tRNA from 1 species